rnacentral:rRNA from 1 species
AUGGCUAAACGAAAAAUCUACUUUUUUUAYUAUAUAUAUAGAAUUUAUUUUUUUAGUGAAAAAACUGAAAUAAUCUUGAAAGACGAGAAGACCCUAUAGAGUUUUAUAUAGUARRRWWYCAYUUURUAUYAGAUUUAUAUYGAWRUGGUUUAAWUCUGUAAUUUGUUGGGGCGACAUUAAGAUAUACAAAACUCUUUUUUUAAAAAACUUUUAUGAAUGAUUAAUUUGAUCCUUUAAAAAAGACAAUAAGAAAAAAUUACCUUAGGGAUAACAGCGUAAUCUUUUUUGAGAGUUCUAAUCGACAAAAAGGUUUGCGACCUCGAUGUUGGACUAAAAUUUAGGUGGGGUGCAGCAGCUCCACUUUAAGGUCUGUUCGACCUAUAAUAUUUUACAUGAUCUGAGUUCAGACCGGCGUGAGCCAGGUUGGU